rnacentral:rRNA from 1 species
AGCAGUGGGGAAUUUUGGACAAUGGGCGAAAGCCUGAUCCAGCAAUGCCGCGUGAGUGAAGAAGGCCUUCGGGUUGUAAAGCUCUUUUGUCAGGGAAGAAACGGUGAGGGCUAAUAUCUCUUGCUAAUGACGGUACCUGAAGAAUAAGCACCGGCUAACUACGUGCCAGCAGCCGCGGUAAUACGUAGGGUGCAAGCGUUAAUCGGAAUUACUGGGCGUAAAGCGUGCGCAGGCGGUUUUGUAAGUCUGAUGUGAAAUCCCCGGGCUCAACCUGGGAAUUGCAUUGGAGACUGCAAGGCUAGAAUCUGGCAGAGGGGGGUAGAAUUCCACGUGUAACAGUGAAAUGCGUAGAUAUGUGGAGGGACACCGAUGGCGAAAGCAGCCCCCUGGGUCAAGAUUGACGCUCAUG